rnacentral:rRNA from 1 species
AUUGAACGCUGGCGGCAGGCCUAACACAUGCAAGUCGAGCGGCGCGGCGGUCGGGUGCGUAAUGCUUAGGUAUCUGCCUGUUCGUGGGGGAUAAGGUCCAGUACUGGGAGCUAAUACUGCAUCCUAUCAGCUUCGCCUGGGUCGGAUUAGGUAGUUGGUGGGGUAAAGGCCAACCAAGGCGACGAUCCGUAACUGGUCUGAGAGGAUGAUCAGUCACACUGGAACUGAGACACGGUCCAGACUCCUACGGGAGGCAGCAGUGGGGAAUAUUGGACAAUGGGCGAAAGCCUGAUCCAGCCAUGCCGCGUGUGUGAAGAAGGUCUUCGGAUUGUAAAGCACUUUAAGUUGGGAGGCGUUACCAACAGAAUAAGCACCGGCUAACUUCGUGCCAGCAGCCGCGGUAAUAC